UUUAUUUGAUAAUACCUUACUACUUGGAUAACCGUGGUAAUUCUAGAGCUAAUACAUGCUAAAAAUCCCGACUUCGGAAGGGUUGUAUUUAUUAGAUUAAAAACCAAUGCCCUUCGGGGCUCUCUGGUGAAUCAUGAUAACUAGUCGAAUCGACAGGCCUUGUGCCGGCGAUGGCUCAUUCAAAUUUCUUCCCUAUCAACUUUCGAUGUUUGGGUAUUGGCCAAACAUGGUGGCAACGGGUAACGGAGGGUUAGGGCUCGACCCCGGAGAAGGAGCCUGAGAAACGGCUACUACAUCCAAGGAAGGCAGCAGGCGCGCAAAUUACCCAAUCCCGACACGGGGAGGUAGUGACAAUAAAUACUGAUACAGGGCUCUUUUGGGUCUUGUAAUCGGAAGAGACAAUUUAAAUCCCUAACGAGGAACAAUGGAGNNNNNNNNNNNNNNNNNNNNNNNNNNNNNNNNNNNNNNNNNUAGCGUAUAUUAAAGUUGUUGUGGUUAAAAAGCUCGUAGUUGAACCUUGGGCCUGGCUGGCCGGUCCGCCUCACCGCGUGCACUGGUCCGGCCGGGCCUUUCCCUCUGCGGAACCCCAUGCCCUUCACUGGGCGUGGCGGGGAAACAGGACUUUUACUUUGAAAAAAUUAGAGUGCUCAAGGCAGGCCUAUGCUCGAAUACAUUAGCAUGGAAUAAUGAAAUAGGACGUUGCGGUUCUAUUUUGUUGGUUUCUAGGACCGCCGUAAUGAUUAAUAGGGACAGUCGGGGGCAUCAGUAUUCAAUUGUCAGAGGUGAAAUUCUUGGAUUUAUUGAAGACUAACUACUGCGAAAGCAUUUGCCAAGGAUGUUUUCAUUAAUCAGGAACGAAAGUUAGGGGAUCGAAGACGAUCAGAUACCGUCGUAGUCUUAACCAUAAACUAUGCCGACUAGGGAUCGGACGAUGUUAUAUUUUUUGACGCGUUCGGCACCUUACGAGAAAUCAAAGUGCUUGGGCUCCU
rnacentral:rRNA from 1 species